GAUGAACGCUGGCGGCGUGCCUAACACAUGCAAGUCGAGCGAUUCUCUUCGGAGAAGAGCGGCGGACGGGUGAGUAACGCGUGGGUAACCUGCCCUGUACACACGGAUAACAUACCGAAAGGUAUGCUAAUACGGGAUAAUAUGUUUUGAUCGCAUGGUCGAAAUAUCAAAGCUCCGGCGGUACAGGAUGGACCCGCGUCUGAUUAGCUAGUUGGUAAGGUAAUGGCUUACCAAGGCGACGAUCAGUAGCCGACCUGAGAGGGUGAUCGGCCACAUUGGAACUGAGACACGGUCCAAACUCCUACGGGAGGCAGCAGUGGGGAAUACUGCACAAUGGGCGAAAGCCUGAUGCAGCAACGCCGCGUGAGCGAUGAAGGCCUUCGGGUCGUAAAGCUCUGUCCUCAAGGAAGAUAAUGACGGUACUUGAGGAGGAAGCCCCGGCUAACUACGUGCCAGCAGCCGCCGUAA
rnacentral:rRNA from 1 species